rnacentral:rRNA from 1 species
GGAGGAGCUUGCUUCUCCGGAUGAGUUGCGAACGGGUGAGUAACGCGUAGGUAACCUGCCUGGUAGCGGGGGAUAACUAUUGGAAACGAUAGCUAAUACCGCAUAAGAGUAGAUGUUGCAUGACAUUUGCUUAAAAGGUGCAAUUGCAUCACUACCAGAUGGACCUGCGUUGUAUCAGCUAGUUGGUGGGGUAACGGCUCACCAAGGCGACGAUACAUAGCCGACCUGAGAGGGUGAUCGGCCACACUGGGACUGAGACACGGCCCAGACUCCUACGGGAGGCAGCAGUAGGGAAUCUUCGGCAAUGGACGGAAGUCUGACCGAGCAACGCCGCGUGAGUGAAGAAGGUUUUCGGAUCGUAAAGCUCUGUUGUAAGAGAAGAACGAGUGUGAGAGUGGAAAGUUCACACUGUGACGGUAUCUUACCAGAAAGGGACGGCUAACUACGUGCCAGCAGCCGCGGUAAUACGUAGGUCCCGAGCGUUGUCCGGAUUUAUUGGGCGUAAAGCGAGCGCAGGCGGUUAGAUAAGUCUGAAGUUAAAGGCUGUGACUUAACCAUAGUACGCUUUGGAAACUGUUUAACUUGAGUGCAAGAGGGGAGAGUGGGAUUCUAUGUGUAGCGGUGAAAUGCGUAGAUAUAUGGAGGAACACCGGUGGCGAAAGCGGCUCUCUGGCUUGUAACUGACGCUGA